UACGUAGGUGGCAAGCGUUGUCCGGAUUUACUGGGCGUAAAGGGCGUGCAGGCGGUCUGUUAAGUCUAGGGUGAAAGCUCCCGGCUCAACUGGGAGAGGUCCUUGGAUACUGGCGGACUUGAGGGAGGUAGAGGAGAGUGGAAUUCCCGGUGUAGCGGUGAAAUGCGCAGAUAUCGGGAAGAACACCCGUGGCGAAGGCGGCUCUCUGGGACGGUACUGACGCUGAGACGCGAAAGCGUGGGGAGCGAACAGG
rnacentral:rRNA from 1 species